rnacentral:rRNA from 1 species
AUGAACGCUGGCGGCGUGCCUAAUACAUGCCAGUCGAGCGAACAGACGAGGAGCUUGCUCCUCUGACGUUAGCGGCGGACGGGUGAGUAACACGUGGAUAACCUACCUAUAAGACUGGGAUAACUUCGGGAAACCGGAGCUAAUACCGGAUAAUAUAUUGAACCGCAUGGUUCAAUAGUGAAAGACGGUUUUGCUGUCACUUAUAGAUGGAUCCGCGCCGUAUUAGCUAGUUGGUAAGGUAACGGCUUACCAAGGCAACGAUGCGUAGCCGACCUGAGAGGGUGAUCGGCCACACUGGAACUGAGACACGGUCCAGACUCCUACGGGAGGCAGCAGUAGGGAAUCUUCCGCAAUGGGCGAAAGCCUGACGGAGCAACGCCGCGUGAGUGAUGAAGGUCUUCGGAUCGUAAAACUCUGUUAUUAGGGAAGAACAAAUGUGUAAGUAACUAUGCACGUCUUGACGGUACCUAAUCAGAAAGCCACGGCUAACUACGUG